rnacentral:rRNA from 1 species
UACGUAGGGCGCAAGCGUUAUCCGGAAUUAUUGGGCGUAAAGAGCUCGUAGGCGGUUUGUCGCGUCUGCCGUGAAAGUCCGGGGCUCAACUCCGGAUCUGCGGUGGGUACGGGCAGACUAGAGUGUGGUAGGGGAGACUGGAAUUCCUGGUGUAGCGGUGGAAUGCGCAGAUAUCAGGAGGAACACCAAUGGCGAAGGCAGAUCUCUGGGCCGUAACUGACGCUGAGGAGCGAAAGCAUGGGGAGCGAACAGG